rnacentral:rRNA from 1 species
GGUUGAUCCUGCCAGUAAUAUAUGCUUGUUUCAAAGAUUAAGCCAUGCAUGUCUAAGAAUAAGCGAACUUAUUCAGUGAAUCUGCGGAUGGCUCAUUAAAACAGUUUGAAUCUAUUCGAUGGAUGUGCGAGAGUACUACAUGGAUACCCGUAGUAAUUCUAGAGCUAAUACAUGCAAGAACGCCCGACCUUCUCGGAAGGGCUGUAUUUAUUGGAUACUAAAACCAAACCCUCCGGGGUUUCGUUUGUUGAUUCACAAUAACUGAUCGGACCGCUGCCUAGGCAGCGGUAGG